GUGAGAACAGUGUAGUGGACUUCACCGCCACUGACCCACAUUUAUUAGGGUGUGACGCGAACUUGUGGACAGAGUACCGAGCUGCUGCUUUGCCAGGUGGAUUUCUGGCUGCGGGCAAAGGACCCGACACAUCAGAGUGUUUUAAUUUGUUUUAUACUGGUGUAAUCUGACAGACUGUGACUGCUGCGGCUGUCGAUUUUGUUUGUUUCUUGUUUUAUUUUUCUGUAUCAGUAGGCACCACAGAGAUUGAUUCUUUUAGUGUGUGUGUGUGUGUGUGUGUGUGUGUGUGUGUGUGUGUGUGUGUGUGUACCUCAACCAAGUGGAUGAAUGAAAGAGUCUGAGAGCAGUGGGAAGGAACAACCUCCUCUAAUGUUCCCUCAGACAGCCAGGUUGAGGGAACCUGUUGCCCAAAGAGCUCUUCAGAUUGCCCAGUGUGUCGUGGAGGGGGUGGGACUCAUUGUCCAUGAUUGCCAGGAUUCUGUCACUGAUCACCUCCUCCAGGGUAGUGAGCUUCAUGCCAACAACAGACUGCCUUCUUGAUGAGUUUGUUCAGUCUUUUUGCGUCCUUUGCUUUGAUGCCUGCACCCCAGCAGGCCACAGCAAAGACGAUGGUGCUCACAACAACAGACAGAUAUAACAUACAGAGCAGCCUGCUGCAUACAUUGAAGGAUCUGAGCCUUCAUAGAAACUAAAGCCGACUCAAACACUUUUUGUAGGCAGCAUCCGUUUUGGCAGACCACUCCAUCUUGUGAUCCAGUUGAGCUCCCAGAUAUUUGUAUGAUGCGAUUAUUUCGACAUCAGUCCUACCAAUGCAGACAGGGGAGGGUUGGGAUCUGUUUCUGCUGAAGUCCACCACCAGCUCCUUUGUUUAGGCCAAAUUCAGCUGCGGGCGAUUCACCUCACAAAGCGAUCAGUCCUCUGUACUCUUCCCAUCCCAUCCUCACACUUCCAAUAAUGGCCGUGUCAUCAGAGAAUUUCUGGAGGAGACAAGUUUCUGUGAUGUGCUUGAACUGUAUAGAUGGUGAAGAGGAAAGGGGACAGCACAGUUCCCUGGGUGUUGCUGUUCCGACAGAUUGUAUUUGGUCUUAGGUGGUGGUGGUGGGGUAUAUUUCAUAAAGCACAAGCUUAAACAGGCCCUUUUUCUGCGCCACUGAGAAGUCAACUGCCUUCCACUGGUCACGUGACACCUUCAGUAACAGACAUCAGCACGAUUUAACCUGGUGCUGAGUGGCUUUUUGAGUUUCAUCAGUUCAAAAAACACAUGACUGAUUAUUCUGACUACUUUAUAUUUAUCGAUUCUGUGACACUUAAGCUAAUGUCUUGUUAAAGUUGGCAGAGAUUAUUUUGAAGCAGGGGUGAUGGGCGUCUCCUUUAAUGAGCACGCGAUCACUGAACUAUAAAAUGCAAACAGCCCAAACACCCAUUAAAGAAACAGGUUAGCUUCUAAAGUGCUCUAAAGUUGUCUAAUGUAAGUUUCAGGAAAUAACAUAUCUGUAAUCCACAGAUUUAUCUGAACUGUAUCAGGUGUGUGGCCAACAUGACACA